CUUACGGGUGGCAGCAGUGGGGAAUAUUGGACAAUGGGCGAAAGCCUGAUCCAGCCAUGCCGCGUGUGUGAAGAAGGCCUUCGGGUUGUAAAGCACUUUCAGUGGGGAAGAAAGCCUUGGGGCUAAUACCCUCGAGGAAGGACAUCACCCACAGAAGAAGCACCGGCUAACUCCGUGCCAGCAGCCGCGGUAAUACGGAGGGUGCGAGCGUUAAUCGGAAUUACUGGGCGUAAAGCGCGCGUAGGCGGUCUGAUAAGCCGGUUGUGAAAGCCCCGGGCUCAACCUGGGAACGGCAUCCGGAACUGUCAGGCUAGAGUGCAGGAGAGGAAGGUAGAAUUCCCGGUGUAGCGGUGAAAUGCGUAGAGAUCGGGAGGAAUACCAGUGGCGAAGGCGGCCUUCUGGACUGACACUGACGCUGAGGUGCGAAAGCGUGGGUAGCAAACAGGAUUAGAUACCCCAGUAGUC
rnacentral:rRNA from 1 species